GAUAACUAUUCAGACGAGAUAAGGAAUGAUGGAGUAACGCCCUGAAACUUAUCCAGUGAGAUUUCCACCCGCAUUAUACAGGCAUGUAUAGAUGUGGAAAGCCGGAUAAAAUAUGCAAUCACGAACCGAAGUGUCCGAUAAGGAUAACCGAAAGCCCAAGGGAAUAAUAAACCCGUGGGAAUUGUUCAAGUAUUGUAUGCUGUCAACCGA
rfam:Bacillus cereus strain G9241 plasmid pBC210, complete sequence.